rnacentral:rRNA from 1 species
GACGUAGGGCGCGAGCGUUGUCCGGAUUUAUUGGGCGUAAAGAGCUCGUAGGCGGCUCGUUGCGUCGGCUGUGAAAACCCGCAGCUCAACUGUGGGCUUGCAGCCGAUACGGGCGGGCUGGAGUUCGGUAGGGGAGACUGGAAUUCCUGGUGUAGCGGUGAAAUGCGCAGAUAUCAGGAGGAACACCGGUGGCGAAGGCUGGUCUCUGGGCCGAUACUGACGCUGAGGAGCGAAAGCGUGGGGAGCGAACAGG